AAGGAGUCUAACAUAUAUGCGAGUCUUUGGGUGUCAAACCCUUAUGCGCAAUGAAAGUGAGUACGAGUGGGAUCCCGCAAGGGCGCACCAUUGACCGAUCUUGAUUUCUCUUGAUAGAUUCGCGUUAGAGCCUAUCUGUUGGGACCCGAAAGAUGGUGAACUAGGCCUGGAUAGGAUGAAGCCAGAGGAAACUCUGGUGGAGGUCCGAAGCAGUACUGACGUGCAAAUCGAUGGUCAAAACUGGGUAGAGGGGCGAAAGACUAAUCGAACCAUAUAGUAGCAGGUUCCC
rnacentral:misc_RNA from 1 species